rnacentral:rRNA from 1 species
GGGUUGUGAGGUUAAGCGACUAAGCGUACACGGUGGAUGCCCUGGCAGUCAGAGGCGAUGAAGGACGUGCUAAUCUGCGAUAAGCGUCGGUAAGGUGAUAUGAACCGUUAUAACCGGCGAUUUCCGAAUGGGGAAACCCAGUGUGAUUCGUCACACUAUCAUUAACUGAAUCCAUAGGUUAAUGAGGCGAACCGGGGGAACUGAAACAUCUAAGUACCCCGAGGAAAAGAAAUCAACCGAGAUUUCCCCAGUAGCGGCGAGCGAACGGGGAGCAGCCCAGAGCCUGAAUCAGUGUGUGUGUUAGUGGAAGCGUCUGGAAAGGCGUGCGAUACAGGGUGACAGCCCCGUACACAAAAAUGCACAUAUUGUGAGCUCGAUGAGUAGGGCGGGACACGUGGUAUCCUGUCUGAAUAUGGGGGGACCAUCCUCCAAGGCUAAAUACUCCUGACUGACCGAUAGUGAACCAGUACCGUGAGGGAAAGGCGAAAAGAACCCCGGCGAGGGGAGUGAAAAAGAACCUGAAACCGUGUACGUACAAGCAGUGGGAGCACGCUUAGGCGUGUGACUGCGUACCUUUUGUAUAAUGGGUCAGCGACUUAUAUUCUGUAGCAAGGUUAACCGAAUAGGGGAGCCGAAGGGAAACCGAGUCUUAACUGGGCGUUAAGUUGCAGGGUAUAGACCCGAAACCCGGUGAUCUAGCCAUGGGCAGGUUGAAGGUUGGGUAACACUAACUGGAGGACCGAACCGACUAAUGUUGAAAAAUUAGCGGAUGACUUGUGGCUGGGGGUGAAAGGCCAAUCAAACCGGGAGAUAGCUGGUUCUCCCCGAAAGCUAUUUAGGUAGCGCCUCGUGAAUUCAUCUCCGGGGGUAGAGCACUGUUUCGGCAAGGGGGUCAUCCCGACUUACCAACCCGAUGCAAACUGCGAAUACCGGAGAAUGUUAUCACGGGAGACACACGGCGGGUGCUAACGUCCGUCGUGAAGAGGGAAACAACCCAGACCGCCAGCUAAGGUCCCAAAGUCAUGGUUAAGUGGGAAACGAUGUGGGAAGGCCCAGACAGCCAGGAUGUUGGCUUAGAAGCAGCCAUCAUUUAAAGAAAGCGUAAUAGCUCACUGGUCGAGUCGGCCUGCGCGGAAGAUGUAACGGGGCUAAACCAUGCACCGAAGCUGCGGCAGCGACGCUUAUGCGUUGUUGGGUAGGGGAGCGUUCUGUAAGCCUGCGAAGGUGUGCUGUGAGGCAUGCUGGAGGUAUCAGAAGUGCGAAUGCUGACAUAAGUAACGAUAAAGCGGGUGAAAAGCCCGCUCGCCGGAAGACCAAGGGUUCCUGUCCAACGUUAAUCGGGGCAGGGUGAGUCGACCCCUAAGGCGAGGCCGAAAGGCGUAGUCGAUGGGAAACAGGUUAAUAUUCCUGUACUUGGUGUUACUGCGAAGGGGGGACGGAGAAGGCUAUGUUGGCCGGGCGACGGUUGUCCCGGUUUAAGCGUGUAGGCUGGUUUUCCAGGCAAAUCCGGAAAAUCAAGGCUGAGGCGUGAUGACGAGGCACUACGGUGCUGAAGCAACAAAUGCCCUGCUUCCAGGAAAAGCCUCUAAGCAUCAGGUAACAUCAAAUCGUACCCCAAACCGACACAGGUGGUCAGGUAGAGAAUACCAAGGCGCUUGAGAGAACUCGGGUGAAGGAACUAGGCAAAAUGGUGCCGUAACUUCGGGAGAAGG